AUUGAACGCUGGCGGCAGGCCUAACACAUGCAAGUCGAGCGGCGCGGGGGACGGGUGAGUAAUGACUAGGAAUCUGCCUGGUAGUGGGGGAUCACGUCCGGAAACGGGAGCUAAUACUGCAUACUAUUAGAUGAGCAUAGGUCGGAAUAGCUAGUGGGUGGGGUAAAGGCCUACCAAGGCGACGAUUCGUAACUGGUCUGAGAGGAUGAUCAGUCACACUGGAACUGAGACACGGUCCAGACUCCUACGGGAGGCAGCAGUGGGGAAUAUUGGACAAUGGGCGAAAGCCUGAUCCAGCCAUGCCGCGUGUGUGAAGAAGGUCUUCGGAUUGUAAAGCACUUUAAGUUGGGAGGCGUUACCAACAGAAUAAGCACCGGCUAACUUCGUGCCAGCAGCCGCGGUAAUUC
rnacentral:rRNA from 1 species